GGCCCCUUAGUUCAAUGGAUAGAAUGCUGGAUUCCGGUUCCAGUGAUAUGAGUUCGAAUCUCGUAGGGGUCA
rnacentral:tRNA from 1 species